AGAAGUGCAGUUUUCAUUACAUUAGCAACUACUUCCACCCCUGUGGCUAUAUAAGCAGUGGAAUUUAAUAAGGGUUGUAAAAMAACCACAACGCACACAGCCAGACACGAGUUUUCCAAGCUGGCUGGUGAAAAUGCAGAAUCGUGGAAUCACUCUGUGGAUGCUGUUGCUUCUCCAUGUCCCUGGACUAGACUCUGCAACAUGGAAUCUAUUCAYUAAGUCCUCGACAAAGCCCACACAGGAGGGCGAGGUGAGGCUGGUGGGGGGUYAGCAUGACUCAGAGGGUCGAGUGGAGGUGUACCACGAGGGGAAAUGGGGGACCGUCUGUG